UACGUAGGGUGCGAGCGUUGUCCGGAAUUAUUGGGCGUAAAGGGCUCGUAGGCGGUUUGUCGCGUCGGGAGUGAAAAUCCAGGGCUUAAUUCUGGACUGGCUUCCGAUACGGGCAGACUAGAGGUAUGCAGGGGGAGAACGGAAUUCCUGGUGUAGCGGUGAAAUGCGCAGAUAUCAGGAGGAACACCGGUGGCGAAGGCGGUUCUCUGGGCAUUACCUGACGCUGAGGAGCGAAAGUGUGGGGAGCGAACAGG
rnacentral:rRNA from 1 species